rnacentral:SRP_RNA from 1 species
GCCGGGCACAGUGGAGCAUGCCUGUAGUCCCAGCUACUCGGGAGGCUGAGGCUGGAGGAUCACUUGAGCCCAGGAGUUCUGGGCUGUAGUGUGCUAUGCUGAUCAGGUGUCCGCACUAAGUUCAGCAUCAGUAGGGUGACCUCCCGGGAGCGGGAGACCGCCAGGUUGCCUAAGGAGGGGUGAACCGGCCCAGGUCUAAAACAGAGCAGGUCAAAACUUCCGUGCUGAUCAGUAGUGGGAUUGUGCCUGUGAAUAGCCACUGCACUCCAGCCUGGGCAACAUAGUGAGACCCCGUCUCA